CACCUACGGGAGGCAGCAGUGGGGAAUAUUGCACAAUGGGCGAAAGCCUGAUGCAGCAACGCCGCGUGAGUGAUGAAGGCCUUCGGGUCGUAAAGCUCUUUGAUCAGGGAUGAUAAUGACAGUACCUGAAAAACAAGCCACGGCUAACUACGUGCCAGCAGCCGCGGUAAUACGUAGGUGGCGAGCGUUGUCCGGAAUUACUGGGCGUAAAGGAUGCGUAGGUGGAUAUUUAAGUGGGAUGUGAAAUCCCCGGGCUCAACCCGGGAACUGCAUUCCAAACUGGAUAUCUAGAGUGCAGGAGAGGAAAGCGGAAUUCCUAGUGUAGCGGUGAAAUGCGUAGAUAUUAGGAGGAACACCAGUGGCGAAGGCGGCUUUCUGGACUGUAACUGACACUGAGGCAUGAAAGCGUGGGUAGCAAACAGGAUUAGAUACCCUGGUAGUCCACGCCGUAAACGAUGGGUACUAGGUGUAGGAGGUAUCGACCCCUUCUGUGCCGUCGUUAACACAAUAAGUACCCCGCCUGGGGAGUACGGUCGCAAGACUAAAACUCAAAGGAAUUGACGG
rnacentral:rRNA from 1 species